AGCCAUGUGUUGGGCACAAAGAGAACUAUUCUUUUGCUUUUUUACUAAAGAAUACCGUGUGCACGGCACUUUUAGUGGCAUACGCCUAUUUUGAAAGGGUGUUCUCUAUGGGUGCU